AAGCCUGAUGCAGCAACGCCGCGUGAGUGAUGAAGGCCUUCGGGUCGUAAAGCUCUGUCUUCGGGGACGAUAAUGACGGUACCCGAGGAGGAAGCCACGGCUAACUACGUGCCAGCAGCCGCGGUAAUACGUAGGUGGCAAGCGUUGUCCGGAUUUACUGGGCGUAAAGGGAGCGUAGGCGGAUACUUAAGUGGGAUGUGAAAUACCCGGGCUCAACCCGGGUGCUGCAUUCCAAACUGGGUAUCUAGAGUGUGGGAGAGGAAAGUGGAAUUCCUAGUGUAGCGGUGAAAUGCGUAGAGAUUAGGAAGAACACCAGUGGCGAAGGCGACUUUCUGGACCAUAACUGACGCUGAGGC
rnacentral:rRNA from 1 species